rnacentral:lncRNA from 13 species
UGUUUUAAACCUUUGCUAUUUGACAAACUUUUCAAAAUCAAAUUAUAAAUUAUGCCUUUUUCUGACUUAAUUCAUCUUUUAAGAUAUUAGGUUUCCUAAAGUCCAAAAAUGACAUCAUUUGUCUUAUUUGGUACAAAAAUUGUGCAGGAAGCAUUGUCAAAUAUGAAAUUCUGUUUGGUUUUCCUUGGGCUAUAUUUGUAUAAAUGUGUUAUUGAUAUGUGCUCCAAAAUUUGAGGAAACUCCUGUAAUUCUGAUAUGACUUAGUGUAUAUUACCAGUAAUAAUGGUAAUUGUUAUGUUAAAAUUAUUGUCUGUCAUAAAGGUAACAAAUUUCCUUGUCAAUUGUCUUUGAGUAUGGCUUCCCUAAAACUUUUUGUUACCCUUGGACAAUUGCUCUGUUGUUUUGUUCCUCUUUAGAAGGUGAUUUUAUAAUCAGCUACAAAACUCUAGCAAAUGCUCUUGAAUGCAGUUUUCUGAUGACUUUGGAGACUGUGGCUUCAGAAUAAAGGAAAACUUUCAGGAGUCAUGGAGAGCGAAAAUGUUUAUAAAUAUCAAGCAGAACAGGAGCUAACUGCAAGGACUAAACUAGUCUUUUCUACUUUUUGCUUAAAAUGUUGCUGAUCAUUUGUUUUGUUUUCCAGAGUCUUGAAACUUUUCUUUUGAGGGAUUGACAGCUUUUAGCAGUUUAGUAUACUCCUAUCAACAAAAUUUGGAGCAUAUUUGUUUUUCUUUCUUUACCUGAUUUCUCCAGAAUUUGGAAUUUAUUUGUGAGUAUUUGUAACAUAUGGCAAUCCAGUUAUUUACAUAAGUGCAACAAGAAUUUGCUUUUAUUUGUAACAGGACACAAUUGGAGAAAUUUAUUUUACCAAGGCUUUGACUGGAAUGGUGUGUUGUCCUUUAAGGAAUCAAACUUGACUUAUGGAGCCAUUAAAAGCACUUGGAAAAACUGGCCUCAUACUUUACACAGUCUCUGUGCAUGGUUUCUGACCUGUGGAUAUGAGAUUUCACAACCUGCUAAAAAUGAACUUUCAGGACCUACCCAUCCAGGAAUAAAUUAUCCUAGCUAUGAAAGAUCAGUUUCAGGUAUGUCUGUAUCAGCAGCAUGAAAACGAACUAAUACAGAGAUUGCUACUAGUAGAGUGGGGAGUUGCUGAAAAGAUACCUGAAAAUGUAAAAGCAGCUUUGGAACUGGGCAUCAUGCAGAGGCUGGAACAGUUUGGAGGGCACAGAAGAAGACAGGAAAAUGUGGGUAAGUUUGGAACUUCCUAGAGACUCGUUGAAUGGCUUUGCCCAAAAUGCCGAUAGCAAUAUGACAGUAACAUCCAGGCUGAGGUGGUCUCAGGUGAAGAUGAGGAACUUGUUGGGAAAUGGAGCAAAGGUGACUAUUGUUACGUUUUAGCAAAGAGGCAUUUUGCCCCUGCCCUAGAGAUUUGUGGAACUUUGAACUUGAGAGACAUGAUUUAGGGUAUCUGGCAGAAGAAAUUUCAAAGCAGCAAAGCAUUCAAGAUGUGACUUGGAUACCAUUAAAGGCAUUCAGUUUUAAAAGGGAAACUGAGCAUAAAAGUUCAGAAAUUUUGCAACCUGACUAUAUGAUAGAAAAGAAAAACCCAUUUUCUGGAGAGAAAUUCAAGCUGGC